AAGUCUUACCAACUUUGUUAAAUUCAAAUUUUAUUUAAUUUAGAUCUAGAAAAUAAUAUUUAGGCCCUAGUCCAUUUUAAUUACGCUUCGCCAUCACUUCUGACGUUACAUGUAAAACAAUUACUGGCGUUUCCGUGUAUGAUCUACACACAAGACUGCAAAAGUCAAUUUUGGCCGAAAAACGAAAGGUCGUUUGGAUACGGUCGCAGCGGCCUGGUCCCCCCAGGACGAGCACUUGAACAGUUGAUGCUCCCAUGAUCGCAUCGCCCUUUGCAAAACACAUCACCCGCCCGACCCGACCAAACAUGCCAAACGCCUAGCUUACAAUACAUUACAGAGACGAGACUGCACUCACAGUCACACAGUACCGUACGGUACAGCACUCAGCAGGUCACUUCCCUGGCAAAUCAAUUUGCAGUGGAGCUUUUAAAAAUCGGUUUGUUCUCAAAUUAAACGUGCAAAUUCAUUGAUAUUGGUACACAAAAU